rnacentral:rRNA from 1 species
GACGAACGCUGGCGGCGUGCCUAAUACAUGCAAGUAGAACGCAGUUGCGAACGGGUGAGUAACGCGUAGGUAACUGCCUAAUAGCGGGGGAUAACUAUUGGAAAGGAAAGCUAAAACCGAAUACUGUGAGAUGGACCUGCUUUGUAUUAGCUAGUUGGUGAGGUAAAGGCCCACCAAGGCGACGGUACAUAGCCGACCUGAGAGGGUGAUCGGCCACACUUGGACUGGGACACGGCCCCGACUCCGACGGGAGGGAGCAGGAGGGAAUCUUCGGCAAUGGACGGAAGUCUGACCGCGCAACGCCGCGUGAGUGAAGAAGGUUUUCGGAUCGUAAAGCUCUGUUGUUAGAGAAGCGUUAACUAACCAGAAAGGGACGGCUAACUACGUGCCAGCAGCCGCGGUAAUUC